UGCCUGAGCUUGGUGAGAGCUAGGAAGGCUCAGGAGUUUCCAUUCGGAGGGACCUGAACCCUCUAGCCCCAAGGAUCUAAAUCCAGGAGGAGCUCAUCACUGCUACGAGCAGCAGCCCAACUACUUGGCCUCCGGAUGAAGCUCUCCUCUGUCACCUGAACGCAGACUUGGUGGUGUGUUGGGACUCUACUCACAAAAGUUCCUUGAAUGGACCGCCCAUAUGCUGGGGAUGCAGGUUUGAAGGUGCCUGACUUGGGUCUAGUGCAGAUAUCUGUGGGUGCCCAGCUGCCUCUCCUCUCCUCUCCCCGCUUCCUGGGCAGCAUGUCCUCCCAAGGCUGGGCCUCCUAUCCCAGCUGGCCUUUCCCAUUACAGCAGGGAUGGCAGCUUUCUCCAAGGCCUGGCCAAGGACCCCUCGUUCCUGGGAGGCUUCGGGGUCGCCCCAGGGCAAGGUCCGUGGAGAUGCCCAGGGCCCACUC